UUCAUAAGAAAUAUAGAAGACCAUUAAAAUUAGAAUACUAUUGAUACACGCCCGACAUUUAAUAAAUUAUAUUAUUUCAAAGGGAUUUUUAUAAAUUGAAGUUCAUUACUAUUAUUUUAUUGAUCAAAGACCUUGAGCCCGUUAUUAAGGUAUAUGAAAAAUAUUUUCACAAGUAUAUACAUAUAUUUUAUUUAAUUAUUUAGCUAUUUAUUUAUUUUUAUUGGGCCUCAAGCCUAAUAAUAUUUAUUUGUGAGUUAUUAAAAUUUUCUUGGGCCUCCAGCCCAAAAAUUUGUGAGAUCAACCCUGGCCCAAAAUUUGGAGAUCAAUGUGAGGAAUCGAAACAUGCGUGUGUGAUUGUAAGAAACUGAAAUAUUUUCCUUUCUCUCCAAGUUUAACUGUGCAAGAUAUUUUUCACAAUUUGAUAUUCUAUUCCCAAAAACUUUGGCUUUGUUUCAACCACGUCAAUCGUUCCAGCUUCAUAAAUUACCCCAACUUUUCUUAUGCUCUUCCACCGCCAGAAUCACUUCCUCAAGCAGCAGUAUGAAGCAAUCAACAUAGUAACUCUUUCUAUUUCUCAAUCAAGAUUCCAGCUGGAUUAUCACAAAAGAUUAACACACGAAAUCCAAAUACCCAACUGUUUCUAUUAAAGAAAUACCUUGACCAAUGCACCAAAAAUCAAAACUUUACAAAUCUGAGAAUUUCUUUUUGCUGCCUUUGGAUUUGGGAAUGAGUGAGGAAGAGAGGGGACGGUUGUCGGAGGCCCGAUGCUGGGCGAUGCUGCAGCGGCCGGCGCCGCAUGGGUGGUGGCAGCCCGUCGCUGCUCACGGUGAAGGCAGGGGAGGCGGCGCGGUUCGAGGCAGGACGGUGCGAGGCGGCACCCGACGCCGCUGAACUCGGCCGAGGCAGACGAGCGACGGCGGUGGCGUUUCCUCCAUGGCCAUCUGCCUUCAGACACGGGCACGAGAAAGGGAGAGGCAGAUGGGAGAAUGGUGAGAGAGGGAGAACGACGAGCGAGGGAAGGGUGGUGGCCGGCGACGAUCUCAUCGGGAAGAGGGGUAGCGGCGUGACUGGAUGAGAGAGGGGGAAGGACGGUGAGUUAGAAAGGAGAGAGUGAAGGGAGGAAAGGAGAGAAAGAGAGGGGUGACGGAGCCGAAGGCGGCGCCCUUCGCCGGGGAAAAAGGAAGAGGCGGCGACGCUAAGCGCCGCGUAUGUGUUGAGCGUGUUCUGGAGAGAUCGAGAGUGAGUAGAAGAGAGAGAGGUCCGAUUGGUUAAAGGGAGAGAGAAAGGGGCUCAUUUGGGCUUUGGAAUUGGACUUGUUUAUUCUAUUCUUCUUGGGCUUCAUUAUUUUGAAGAUGGGCUGCAUUUCUUUUAAUUGGAUCUGCAAGUAUGUUCACUAGUCUUAUUAUUUCUCUAUAAGUUUAUGUUCUUAUAUUUUGAUACAAUCUUUAAUUAUUAUUUUGGGCCUAUAAAUGUUUUAAUAAAUUUUAUUAAUUUUCUUUCAAGGUUAAGGAUUUAUAUUUUUAAAUUAUUAAUUAUUUUAUAAGUUUUAAAUUUAUUAAGUUAUUAAUUAUGUAUUAAAAGUUUAUGAAUUCACUCAAGGAGUUUAUUAAAACGGGCAAAGUGUAUCAAUAGUUAGCGAUUCCAUUUACUUAGAAAUUAGAAUGAUACCUCGAGACCUAUUAAGAAUAUAAUUUCUUGUAGGCUUUGUGACCAAGUGGGUUAGCGCUGCUUUCCCAAGACAGGUUUAUAUGUGUAUGAUCUUCAGGCUUUGCCUAUCCAGGUGGGCUUUAUUUUACAAAUGUAUCUUGAGUUAUAUAAGCUCUGAUAUUUCAUGAAAGUUAAUUGUUUAUCCAAUAUAAAUAUUUUUAUGUGCGUUCUGUACUGUUUAAUGCUCGCAUAAGCAUCGAUCGAGAUUCUCAUUUGACCUAACACGUUAGAUGAGGAUUGUGUACACAAGGUUAGUUGCUCAAUGGGUUGAUCGCCAUUUGGGCACUAACGAAGCUAAGCAGACGUUAUAAGGGUGCUUGUCUGGAUGUGUUCCGAAGCACAGAUAUGAUUAUUGAUCUGACCGGGUGCGUCCCGAGAUUGAUAAAUGGGAGAAAAGAAAGCGAUCCGUCGGUGGCUAGAGGUCCGGGAUCAUAAGCAGCGAGUAACAAUCAAACGUCACAUGGCGCGCCACUUAAUGAGAAAAAUGUUUUGUCAUGCUUAGAAGUGGAUUUCUAUUUUUAAAACCUUCUGAGUUAUGAUUAUGAUAUUGGAUAAACUGCUCUAUUUAAGUAUUUCAUAAAAUAUUUAUAAACUGCAUAACCCACUGAGUACACUAGUGCUCAGCCCAAAAUAUUUUCAAAUAUUUUCAGGUUGAUCAGCUGGUGCAGAUGGGGUUGAGCCGAAGUUAGGGAUCCUCUUCGUAUUUCACUUCCGCUAACGACUAGCUUGCUAUCUUGUCUUUCAAUCCCCUAAACUCAGAACUUCUAUUAUAUGAUAAAAUAAUAUUUUGUUGAGCUUAGACACUUAAUUCAUAUUUCAAUUAGUGAAGCCAUAUUUGAUUAUGAUCAGAGUCACGAAACUAAACUUAUGCGCUCCUGGAAAGUUGAAUAUUGUUAAUCGAUUAUGUCGCUCAAUGCCCAUUCAUUUAUUUUAUUUUAUUUUAUCUUUAUUUUAUUAAUCUCUUCGAAACACAGAUACCUAAUCCUUUUGGGUAAAUCUUCAUAAUUGAUCUGCUUAUAUCACAUUAUUUUCUUAUUUCUUUUGUUUGGGAAGUUGGGUCGUUACAAGUGGUAUCAGAGCACAAGUUUUCUUUCGUGCCUCUGACUACCGCUAGUUAAAUUAUUUCGAGUCUAGAAUAGUACCUCUAGACUUCUUAGCAUUUAUGUAACCCUCAGCUCACCGUCUCACUGCCUGAUCAACAAAGGUACGUUUUAAAUUUUUUCAAGUAAAUUAUUUUAUUCCAAGAAAGGGCGCGCAAAAAGAUUACCUUGUGAAAUGCUUGAAGGAUUCACAAAUGCAAAGAGUUAAUGUUUAUGCCAAGAAAGAAGAGUAUCAUUUUUUUGGACCAAUGAGUCCUUACAAGAAGCAAAGUAUGUAGUCAUGAUGGGACUCUCCGAGCCCACGUGAUCUAUUUUCAGAAGAAGAAUAUUAUGAUGAGUCUCUUUGAGCUCACAUAAGCAUGUUGAAAGAGAAAAGAUUUGUUGUUUAUGAUUGAUUCUAUGAAUCAUUUAUGAUUAAAGAUAUGUUAUGAUUUUUUUUACUUCGUGCAUGUUAAAAAAUAUUUCAGAUGGCAUAAAUGACACUAUUUGUCAACUUAGGUUAUUUAUGACCUUUUUGACUUGACAGUUAUGAGUAGGUUGACUCAGUCAACUAAAGCUAUGAGCUUAUAAGAGUAUGAUUUACCCCAUAGUUAGAGGUGCAUUAGCUAAUGCUAUGACAGGAUUUCGAUCCAUAUGAACUAGACUUUUGUCUAGAGAACUUUAGAAUGAUGAGGUAUAGAAUCUUGAAGAACAUAAAAUGCUUUCAGAAUACCUAUGAUGCCCAUAGAACAGAGAAACUUAGUUAGAUUUAGCCUUGCGCUAUUUCGGGUUGAAUGAUAUUGGUUCUUCUUUAUAGAUGGACAAAACAGGCGAGAAAUUUCGCAAGCAUUGGACCCCAACGUACUUGCAAGAACAGUAUGAAGAGAAGCUCCAUAGCUAAAUCGGGAAGCUAUAGAAUUUUCUGAGGGAUUUCGUAGUAGAAUCACGACACACAGGAUGAAUGCAUGCAAGGGAAGAGUAUUAGACAUCAAAUCAUCAAUAAGACUCGUGCAACACCUUUCUCUAAUGAAUGAAAAACAGGGACAACCAACAUAUGCGCAAGAUUAGUGAUUUACGAUUUUCCGCAGCUGACUAAGAGCACCAAGCCAAGGCCAUUGACAUCAGGAGAGGGUCCUAAGAACAAUAUUGAGGAAGCUAUCACAAGAGAUUCAUGAGAGAGCAAUUGCCUGCAUACAUUAUUAGUUUAGUAGUGGCGACAAUUGUUUAGAAUAACCUUACUUUUGAUAAGAACACCUCACUUUUUGACUGCAAGGUUGAACUCGUCCACAACCUACCUAUACCUUGCCUAGACACCCCAAUUCAUUUAAUAAAUUCUCGUACUACCUAAACACUUGGAGUACUCUAUUAUAUUCAUUAUACUGAAAGUCUUUUUUUUGAGGCAUAUGAUACAUAAGUGUUUUGAUCAUGCUUUAACGCGUGUUAUUCAAACUUUUCUUCCCGUAACACGCUUAUUUAUUAUGGUUAGUUUACAUCUGAAGUUGUUCAAUCUUAUUAACUAAAAGAACCUUUUUGAGGGGCACUAUUAUUUUGAAUAUUAUGAAAGUCCUCUCUUGAGGCAUAUAUAUCAAUAAUUUAUUCAUACUUUAUGCGUGUUGUUCAAAUUUUCUUUCACGUAGCACGCAUAGUCUCAUGAUUGAUUCACAUAUGAUUGUUAAGCCCUAUUAACCAAUUGAACCUUUAAACCACAUCAUGGAUACGACAAUAAGAAGACGUGGACGACGACGAGUAAUUGUCCCUGAUGAGCCUGCACCACAAGUAGCACCAGACGGUUUAGGUGAUCCUAUAGAUGCCGAGAAGUAAAUCAAAGCAAUAGGAGAAUUUCACCGAGAAUGACUUUAAGGCAGAGUUAUAUGAGAAAUACAUACUAGAAUAUUACCGACAGAGAAACAGAUGAGUUCUGGAACCUGGGGCAGAGGGCUGGAAUGACGACUGAGUAUGGCAGGACUUUCAACCAACUGCUACGAUAUGCUCAACUCCUAUUGGAUACUGACGAGAAAUGCGCGGAAAAGUUUAGGAACAGAUUUCGUCAUGAGAUAUCGAUUUCCUUAACAAGUCAGGGAGGUCUCACUUAUGCACAAACACUGAGCGGAGCUCUCACAAUUGAGUCAUUGCUACCAAGCAAAUGAAGAAAGAUAUAGCACUAUUCGUAGAACGGUGCCUUGCAUGCCAACAAGUCAAAGCACUAGACCGGAAACCAUAUGGGACAUUGCAACCACUACCAAUUCCCGAAUGGAAGUGGGAACAUAUCGACAUGGAUUUUGUGAUAAGCUUACCACAAUUAGCGCGUGGAAACAAUGCCAUUUGGGUAAUUGUAGAUCGCCUGUUGAAGACAACGCAUUUCCUUCCCAUGCAAAUGACCUUUGGGAUGGAAAAGCUUGCAAAGUUAUAUGUCAAAGAAAUUGUGCGCCUUUACGGUGUACCAGUAUCAAUCACAUCUGAUCGUGACUCCAGAUUCACAUUAAGAUUCUGGAAAAGUUUGCAGGAGGUAAUGGGCACCAAACUAAAAUUCAGCACAACAUACCACCCCCAAACAGACGGCCAAUCUGAGCGAACAAUUCAGAUAUUAGAAGACAUACUUCGAGCAAUUGUUGCAGACAAAUGUGGAGAUUGGGAGGACCUACUACCUCUCGUAGAAUUUGCCUACAACAACAGCUACCAGACAACAAUUAGAAUGGCCCCUUACGAGGCACUAUAUGGGCGAAAAUACAGAUCGUCACUUUACUGGGAUGAAGUAGGCGAACGAAGCUGUUAGGACCAAAACUAGUUUAGCAGAUGAUCGAAAAAGUUGACCAGAUUAAGCAGAAGAUCAAAGAAGCACAAGAUAGAUAACAAUCAUAUACUGAUACACGAAGAACUGAACUAGAAUUCAAUGUUGGGGAUUGACUAUUUCUCAAAAUUUUCCCUACAAAAUGAGUUAUUCGUUUUGAAAGUAGUGGUGAAUUGUGACCCUGCUAUAUAUGACCUUUUGAGAUUCUAGAUAGAAUGAGAAUGCAGCCUAUAGGUUGGCAAUACCACCUAGCAUUGGGAAUGUGCACAAUGUGUUUCACGUUUUGCAAUUACAAAAGUACGUGUUUGGUCCAAAGCACGUAAUAAAGAAUGAUGAAGUAGUUCUAGUCUAAGACUUGAGCUAUGAGGAAAAGCCCGUACAAAUACUUGACCGAAAGGUUCAAGUUCUAAGAAACAAGCAAAUCCCUCUGGUUAAAGUGCUUUGGCACCACCAUUGGAUAGAAGAAGCAACAUGAGAAUUAGAAGAGAAAAUGAAAGCUCAAUACCCCGAACUGAAUUACCAAGGUAUGUAAAUUUCGGGGACGAAAUUUUUUUUAAGGAGGGAGGUAUGUGACAUCCCGUCCUUUUCAUAAGAAAUAUAGAAGACCAUUAAAAUUAGAAUACUAUUGAUACACGCCCGACAUUUAAUAAAUUAUAUUAUUUCAAAGGGAUUUUUAUAAAUUGAAGUUCAUUACUAUUAUUUUAUUGAUCAAAGACCUUGAGCCCGUUAUUAAGGUAUAUGAAAAAUAUUUUCACAAGUAUAUACAUAUAUUUUAUUUAAUUAUUUAGCUAUUUAUUUAUUUUUAUUGGGCCUCAAGCCUAAUAAUAUUUAUUUGUGAGUUAUUAAAAUUUUCUUGGGCCUCCAGCCCAAAAAUUUGUGAGAUCAACCCUGGCCCAAAAUUUGGAGAUCAAUGUGAGGAAUCGAAACAUGCGUGUGUGAUUGUAAGAAACUGAAAUAUUUUCCUUUCUCUCCAAGUUUAACUGUGCAAGAUAUUUUUCACAAUUUGAUAUUCUAUUCCCAAAAACUUUGGCUUUGUUUCAACCACGUCAAUCGUUCCAGCUUCAUAAAUUACCCCAACUUUUCUUAUGCUCUUCCACCGCCAGAAUCACUUCCUCAAGCAGCAGUAUGAAGCAAUCAACAUAGUAACUCUUUCUAUUUCUCAAUCAAGAUUCCAGCUGGAUUAUCACAAAAGAUUAACACACGAAAUCCAAAUACCCAACUGUUUCUAUUAAAGAAAUACCUUGACCAAUGCACCAAAAAUCAAAACUUUACAAAUCUGAGAAUUUCUUUUUGCUGCCUUUGGAUUUGGGAAUGAGUGAGGAAGAGAGGGGACGGUUGUCGGAGGCCCGAUGCUGGGCGAUGCUGCAGCGGCCGGCGCCGCAUGGGUGGUGGCAGCCCGUCGCUGCUCACGGUGAAGGCAGGGGAGGCGGCGCGGUUCGAGGCAGGACGGUGCGAGGCGGCACCCGACGCCGCUGAACUCGGCCGAGGCAGACGAGCGACGGCGGUGGCGUUUCCUCCAUGGCCAUCUGCCUUCAGACACGGGCACGAGAAAGGGAGAGGCAGAUGGGAGAAUGGUGAGAGAGGGAGAACGACGAGCGAGGGAAGGGUGGUGGCCGGCGACGAUCUCAUCGGGAAGAGGGGUAGCGGCGUGACUGGAUGAGAGAGGGGGAAGGACGGUGAGUUAGAAAGGAGAGAGUGAAGGGAGGAAAGGAGAGAAAGAGAGGGGUGACGGAGCCGAAGGCGGCGCCCUUCGCCGGGGAAAAAGGAAGAGGCGGCGACGCUAAGCGCCGCGUAUGUGUUGAGCGUGUUCUGGAGAGAUCGAGAGUGAGUAGAAGAGAGAGAGGUCCGAUUGGUUAAAGGGAGAGAGAAAGGGGCUCAUUUGGGCUUUGGAAUUGGACUUGUUUAUUCUAUUCUUCUUGGGCUUCAUUAUUUUGAAGAUGGGCUGCAUUUCUUUUAAUUGGAUCUGCAAGCUUUGUGACCAAGUGGGUUAGCGCUGCUUUCCCAAGACAGGUUUAUAUGUGUAUGAUCUUCAGGCUUUGCCUAUCCAGGUUGAUCAGCUGGUGCAGAUGGGGUUGAGCCGAAGUUAGGGAUCCGCUUCGUAUUUCACUUCCGCUAACGACUAGCUUGCUAUCUUGUCUUUCAAUCCCCUAAACUCAGAACUUCUAUUAUAUGAUAAAAUAAUAUUUUGUUGAGCUUAGACACUUAAUUCAUAUUUCAAUUAGUGAAGCCAUAUUUGAUUAUGAUCAGAGUCACGAAACUAAACUUAUGCGCUCCUGGAAAGUUGAAUAUUGUUAAUCGAUUAUGUCGCUCAAUGCCCAUUCAUUUAUUUUAUUUUAUUUUAUCUUUAUUUUAUUAAUCUCUUCGAAACACAGAUACCUAAUCCUUUUGGGUAAAUCUUCAUAAUUGAUCUGCUUAUAUCACAUUAUUUUCUUAUUUCUUUUGUUUGGGAAGUUGGGUCGUUACAAGAGUGGUAUCAGAGCGGUUCGUUCGCUCUGACCCUAGAAACCUUAUUCUAAAGAGUCGAGUCUAGUUUGAUUCUUUAGACUUACACGGGUUCAUAUGGCACCGCUCAACACUCCAUUGCAUCGUGCUCAAUCAAGGAAAGAAGGUAACUGCAGUUUCAACGUUUUAAAGAUGUUAAUGUUCUAAAAUGCUUCAUGAAUAUGUUUAUGUGAAGAGCAGGUUAUGAUGAAAUGUUGAAUGUUUUGCCUUUCAUGGCAUAUUUUCGCAAUCUAUGAUGUUAUGAUCAGACGAAUGAUAGAAAAAUUGACAUAUGUUUUCCCGGAGAACAUAGAUUGCUAUAAGUUGCAUGAUCACAAUUUUAAAAGAACAUAGACUACUAGAUUAGUAGGAUAUCUCUACAAUCUAGAUUCUUAAGGUGAUGAUGUAGAAGAAUGAAAGAGAACUUAGAGCAUUUCAGCUCCCUCAAGAAAACAAUGAUUCUUUUGAACUACAAAGAGGAAUGGAAAGAUAUGUACGAGGUAAAGGAAAAACACAGAAUGACGAUACGCGACGAAUUCAAGGUAAACGUUGCAUCAAAGGUUGAACCAUAGUCUCUACGUUCAAAUGUUCAAGUACGACGAAAUAUCAAAUCGACUUUUGCUACAGGAUAGAUUUUAUGAAUAGAGUAUUUUGCCUGUGUACGUAUGUCUGUGUGUAUAUGUCUUAAGAGAGGUUUGGGGUUUGAGAUCAAUAGGAUAGGGAACCUUAAGAUAAGUUUAAUUGUCAUAAUGAACUUAUGUUUUGUUAUGUAUAGUAUGUUCAUGGCCCUUCAAGUUCGGGACGAUGUUUCUCGUGUGACUGGGAGGUGAUGAUGUUGGACCUGGCCAGUCCACAUGAUCCAAAUCUCAGUAGACGUCUUUUGGGUUGAAAACCCAUGUGUUUCAACUUUCGGUUGAAAAGCCAGAUGGGUUCAUACUCGAGGUCAUUUUGUUCGACUUAGUAGUUAAUCAUUUCAUACCCUCUGGUCAUUCUUUUGAUUCUCUUGAACAAUUUCUACAACACCUUGUUUUGAUGUUGUGUUGAGUUUGAGCCUUGCAACUCGUGAGUUGUCAUAAUAGAUCCCCUUGUUUGAUAAGACCAAGAAAUGUUAGUCUACCGAUGUAGUAUACUACCCAAACUAUGACUUCAUAUAAUUGUGUCUCAUUGUGAUUGGUUGAGAUUAGUUUUUGUCCUAUAAAUGAUAUCGACCACUCAUUAUGAUAGAAAUUCAGAGUCCAAGCUAAGACCGUAAUAUAGUGUUCGAGUACGAGGACUUAAGUUAAUUGGUCUAUGAUAGUUUUAAGAUAAAUUCAUAGGAAAGUGUUAUUCAUGUGAUAGGUAACAAGAAAUGGGUUGAUGACUAUUUUAGUCUUUGGAAAAAAGAAUACCCCGUAGAUGAGCCCUAGGAAUGAGG